rnacentral:lncRNA from 1 species
GAAUUUAUUUUGACAAAACCUUAGACUAUGGAAAUCAAGCUUUCCUAGUUUACAUUUGCCUAUUUAAACCAUUUAAGCAACACCACUUUUAAGGCUAUUUUGCUAUGCGGAUUAUAAAACAAAUUACCUACAAUACAAUUGGUAACCACGAAUUGCAUGUGAUAGUUUGGAUACGGGAUCAAACAUGGUAUAAGUAAAACAAUUGAUUUUUGCGACCGCGUUGAAUGUUUAUAUUCCUUAGCACAGUCUAUAAAUUUUGUAGGGCUUCAAUGGUAGAAUGCAUUUCCCUGACGUUUGGUGUUGAUUUCUUUUUCACAAUGUUAGGCACAUAAAGUGGCUUACUUCCGGUUCAUGGGACAACUAUCUUGGCUUAUUGGCCAUGCAGAAUGGUCGAGCAGUUUGGUGGUUCGAACUAGUGCUGAAAACGAGUCGAGUUCAAGCAAGUUGGCCCAAGCUUGGCUCAGUUUAUACUAACAUUUGAGCAAGCCGAAUCCGAGUGAAGUUCAAAGUCAAGCUGUAGAAAGGGAUCAUACUGAGCUUGCAGCGAUCUCAACUCGAUCAUGACCUAAUUUCGAGCUAAAUAAGAAGAUUUAUUGUUAUUAUUAUUUGAGACCAUUUUCCAACUAGACAGGCCACAACAACAUUAAAACACCUAAGAAAUUCAACUUUGAUUGACCUUUGAUCAUGAAUAACAGUAUACUCGGCACAUGACUGGCCAUGUACCAUAUAAAGGCUUAAAUUUAUCUCACGUUUAUUAACCUUCAGUGUUUGCUUGUAAACAAAAUGAAGAAAAAUCAUACAUGCAACAUAUAUUGUUAUAAAUUGCUCUAUUUUUAAUAUAUAAUAAAAUCAUUGAACAUAAUUAAAUUAGCUUGAGCUAUUGAGCUAAAAUCGAGCAGGCUAGUGGUGAUUCAACAUCAUUGAGAGGGCCAUUUUGGCUCUGGGUAGCAUAUGCUCACUGAUAAACAGUAAAUUCAGAACAGAUGGUAAAUACAAUUUAAAAAUUCUGAUUUUGUGUGUGAAUGUUCAUGUUAAUCUAACAAAUGUGCU